ACAAUGAAGAGUUUGAUCCUGGCUCAGGAUGAACGCUAGCGGCAGGCCUAACACAUGCAAGUCGAGGGGCAUCACGGAAAAGCUUGCUUUUCUGGUGGCGACCGGCGCACGGGUGCGGAACGCGUAUGGAACCUGCCCCUGUCAGGGGAAUAGCCCAGGGAAACUUGGAUUAAUGCCCCAUGGUACCGUUAUAUCGCAUGAUAUUGCGGUUAAAGAUUUAUCGGACAGGGAUGGCCAUGCGUACCAUUAGUUAGUUGGUGAGGUAACGGCUCACCAAGGCAGCGAUGGUUUGGGGGCCUGAGAGGGGGAUCCCCCACACUGGUACUGAGACACGGACCAG
rnacentral:rRNA from 1 species